AAUGAAAAUGUCAGCAUCUUUUCAACCAUUGAUUUCAAUGAUUAAUUUUCUGCAUUUGGAAAUAAAUUUAUAAUGAGGUCAGUGAUUUUAGAUAUGGCUGAAUAGGCAUAAAGACUACUUAACCUUUCAAAUGACUAUUUGAUGAAACCAAGUCUGCGGAUGAUGACUCAUAAAAUAAGAAGAACUAAUGCCCGAACCCGAUAAAAAAUGAAUUCCUUCACUAACAAUCUACGCGAUAUAACGUUUUAUUUAAAUUAAAAUAAAAGUAACUAUAUGGCGGUUAUUCGAUUUUAAUGAUGGCUCGAGCUAUUUGACUGAAAUCCAAAGAGAUGUUUGUCGCCGGGGCAGAGAUUUCUUAUUACAGUUAUAAUCGAAAAAGUCGUCGAUAUGUCAAUAGUAGGACAAAAUGCAUCGGCAACGAAAUCAGUUCCGUUAGUGGCUACUAAGGUCAUGGCCAUAACUAUUUGGGAUGCUCGCGGCAAAACGCUUAUUGAUUUGAGAA